rnacentral:rRNA from 1 species
ACGGCUCAGUAACACGUGGAUAACCUGCCCUUGGGUCCGGCAUAACCCCGGGAAACUGGGGAUAAUUCCGGAUAACGCACAUAUGCUGGAAUGCUUUAUGCGUAAAAUGGAUUCGUCUGCCCAAGGAUGGGUCUGCGGCCUAUCAGGUAGUAGUGGGUGUAAUGUACCUACUAGCCAACAACGGGUACGGGUUGUGAGAGCAAGAGCCCGGAGAUGGAUUCUGAGACAUGAAUCCAGGCCCUACGGGGCGCAGCAGGCGCGAAAACUUUACAAUGCGGGAAACCGUGAUAAGGGGACACCGAGUGCCAGCAUCAUAUGCUGGCUGUCCAGGUGUGUAAAAUACACCUGUUAGCAAGGGCCGGGCAAGACCGGUGCCAGCCGCCGCGGUAACACCGGCGGCCCGAGUGGUGAUCGUGAUUAUUGGGUCUAAAGGGUNNNUNNNCNGUUUGGUCAGUCCUCCGGGAAAUCUGAUGGCUCAACCAUUAGGCUUUCGGGGGAUACUGCCAGGCUUGGAACCGGGAGAGGUAAGAGGUACUACAGGGGUAGGAGUGAAAUCUUGUAAUCCCUGUGGGACCACCUGUGGCGAAGGCGUCUUACCAGAACGGGUUCGACGGUGAGGGACGAAAGCUGGGGGCACGAACCGGAUUAGAUACCCGGGUAGUCCCAGCCGUAAACGAUGCUCGCUAGGUGUCAGGCAUGGCGCGACCGUGUCUGGUGCCGCAGGGAAGCCGUGAAGCGAGCCACCUGGGAAGUACGGCCGCAAGGCCGAAACUUAAAGGAAUUGGCGGGGGAGCAC